rnacentral:rRNA from 1 species
UACAGAGGGUGCGAGCGUUAAUCGGAAUUACUGGGCGUAAAGCGCGCGUAGACGGUUUUGUAAGUCAGAUGUGAAAUCCCUGGGCUCAACCUGGGAACUGCAUUUGAGACUGCAUGGCUAGAGUAUGGAAGAGGGAAGUGGAAUUUCCGGUGUAGCGGUGAAAUGCGUAGAUAUCGGAAGGAACACCAGUGGCGAAAGCGACUUCCUGGUCCAAUACUGACGUUCAUGUGCGAAAGCGUGGGGAGCAAACAGGG